UAUACUCCGGUGCCCAGGUAUCGUGCGCAUACUUUUGUGUUUCGAAAAAUUACAACGGUCGCUUGAAACGGACGACCGUUGAAUCGAUCGCGCGUCACCGUCGGUUAUAAAUCGAAUUCGGACGUGCGAAUUAUCGUUGGUAAUCGACCGGUUUUUACCGUAAUGCGAGUGCGUUUCCGCGCGUUAGUAUAUCUGAUAAGUAGUAAUGAUAUUGUUGCGCAGAUUUACACACCGAUGAAUUGAUAUUAUUUUCGCGGUCAUGUCAAUGUCCCGCGCGUGUUAACAGUACCGCGGGGACGGAUGAAUUUUAAGGCGGAAAGUUUCCGUUCCGGAUAAAGUCUCCGGGCGUUUGUCAAAAAAAACUGUACCGAUCC